rnacentral:rRNA from 1 species
GUGAGGAAUUUUCCGCAAUGGGCGAAAGCCUGACGGAGCAAUGCCGCGUGAAGGAUGAAGGCCUAUGGGUUGUAAACUUCUUUUCUCAGAAAAGAAUUAUGACGGUAUCUGAGGAAUGAGUAUCGGCUAACUCUGUGCCAGCAGCCGCGGUAAGCCAGAGGAUGCAAGCGUUAUCCGGAAGGAUUUGGCGUAAAGCGUCUGUAGGUUGUUUAAAAAGUAUUCUGACAAAGAUUAGGGCUCAACCCUAGAAAGGCAGAAUAAACUUUUAAGCUAGAGUUUGGUAGAGGCAGAGGGAAUUCCCAGUGGAGCGGUGAAAUGCGUAGAUAUCGGGAGGAACACCAAAGGCGAAGGCACUCUGCUGGGCCAAUACUAACACUGAGAGACGAAAGCGAGGGGAGCAAAUGGGAUUAGAAACCCCAGUAGUCC